rnacentral:lncRNA from 1 species
UGAGGCUGGCCUCCUGGUAAUGUUUGUUGUGAAGCACUGUUGUAUGCAGACUCUGAUUCAUCAACUUGGGAAUCUUCGAACUCGGUGAUGAAAAAUAAAAAAGAAAACCAACAAAACAGGAAGGAAAACAGUGAAAACUCUGAUGCUCCUUGGGGAAUAUGAAGAGACACAGAUUUCAUUUAAGAUAACAAAAAAAAAAAAAAGAGAGAAGAAAUAAAAACAAAAACACCACCACCACCAACAGAAAGCAGCAGAAGUACCAAGAGUCGGAUGGGUGAAUGCUGCUCUUCAGAGCAGUCCCUGCAAUGGGGACUCCCCAGCCGUGAGGUCCCCAGCUCCCGCAGCAGCUCGGCAGCUCCCUCCCCUCCUCCACUUCUGCACUACGAUUCAUAUGGUGACUGCUGCAGUAAAAUCAGGAGCAAUGAAGACUAUAUAUAAAAGGGCUGGAGUAAAGGCAAGUGGCACCUCAAUUCUACUUCUGAGUAAGCCUUUUGUUUUUAGCAAAACAGGCACAUCAGUGCUGCUCCAGCCAGCCACAGGCUCAGCUUUCCCUGUGGAAGCUGGCAAGGAGCAGCAGGUCUGAGCCUCAGAACUGCAGCAGAGAGGAGUUCCACCUCCUCCUGCUGGUGGCCAACCUUGGCUGUUGGCCUUCCUCUGGGGACGGAGGCAUCCCCAUGCUCCGCUGGUCUGCCUAUAGCGAUACAGAUGGGUGACUGGUGAGACCGGGCUGGGCCAGAGCCAGAGGCAGUUGUGCUGGUACAGAGCAGCGGCCGCUGCCUGGAGUUGGG